ACAGGAGACAUAGCAUUUCACACUUGCUGUAAUGUAUUUGGUAGCAAUGCAGCUACAGAAUAAUCAUUUUGUGGCCAAAUGUUAAAGUUAUUUCUGACUAAGCUGGCCUCUGCAUCAAGAACCGCUUAGCUGUUCCACCUUCUUUCUACUUUUAAAGAUGGGUAAGCAUCAAGUUAAUCUGCAACUAAUCUAGCUAAAAAGGAAACAAAACAAAAGCCAAGAGCCUCUGUUCACUGACUGCUGUGCUUACUUUGGCUGAAUCAUCUCAAUUGGGCACGUUAUAUCAUUUUAGCAUCUGGGGACUUAGCAGAGAAAUACACAGCAAGAGAACAAUGUUUCAGUUCUCUUGCCAGAGCUGCUUCACUUUGUUCUUUGGCCAAGAUUAGAAAAUGUUUAUGAUAUUUAGGUGGAGCAGUUCCUCUGAAAAGAUAAUUUUUAUGGCCAAAAGUGCCACCCACUGAGCAGAAUAAUGAAGGAAAUCAUGUCCCACUUACGAUCUAGGGAAGGGACUACGAAGAAGCAAUUAUUAACAUAACCUGGAGAGAAGAACAGAUCUGAUGACUGUUACUGUUAAGGCAAACGUGCAGGAGGACACACAGUUCUGAAUAAGGACUUAAACUUCACUCUGAAGAUGUAAAGGGUGAUCUAAAUAACAGCUAACCCUUAUCUUCCUUAGCAAAUAAAGAUUCUGAGAUGAAAUUGAAACUACGAUCCCUAUUUCAGUAUGCAAAAGGCUGUGCAUGCUGCUGCAGGAGCUGAUUUUAGCUGCGCGAUUUGUUAACACAUGUACAACCCCACUGUGCUGAAGCACAGGUAAACUUGACUGAAACUGGAGGCUUGAGACAAAACUGAAGUAGCUCUAAUGGCAGAAAUGCUGCCAUUUCAUUUCUCUGCCAUACUCAGCACCAGCUCUUAACAUUUGUUUCAAUUUAAUCUCAGUAAAAGCUUUUACUGCUUCCUCACCUUAUGUCCCCAUCCCUGGAAUCCUUUGAAAGAAAGCCAGUUCAGCAACUAGGAAUUUCCAAUCUCUUUUGUUUCCUUAAUCUUUUCUAAGUGGACUAGCCUUCCUUUUUGUUGGCAUAUUCUGCUCCUCCUUUUGUGAAAACGUUCCUCUCCCAAUGUCACUGAUUUAGCUGCCUGUGUAGUUAUCCUAUUCGUUGGUGAUUCUGACACAGUACAUUUAUAAAUCAAACCAUCCACAUGGCACUCUAAUUUCCAGCUGUUUGACAACUUUUAGACUCAGGAUAUAUGAAUAUAAAUAAUAUCAUUUCAUAUUGUUAUGAACUGGCUCAUUAGAACUGGCUUCUUGCUAAUUUGUGCCACUAAAGAGUACAGUGGCGUCUCUGCUGAAAGAAGACUGUUUUAUACACAGCAAGAAAAAUGCCUGCAUCUAAAUCAAUAGUUAAAGCUGAGAGCUAGGGUUAUGAUAGGCCUUGAAAUAAGACAUGUAUGAAUAUAUGUAUAUUAGAGAAGUGAACGGUCAGCAUAAGUAGCUCUGUAGCAGGCUCUUGUGCUGAGCUGUACAGCUGAUCUGUUAGUGGGUGUCACAGAGGAGUGCCUGGAGGAGAUGCUUUACAAAAGGAUGGUUUUGUACAGUGAAAGCUCUGUGAACUAGCCACCAUAUCCAAAGGGCAAUUCUUUGUCUUAAAUGAAUGCUUUUAAAGCAUUGCUCGAGUUGCAAAUACAAUUUACUUUGACCUUUAGUUAAAGGCCCACCUCUACAAGACAACUGAUUUUUAGAGCUUGUGUGGUUUCUUAAGACCGAUAUUGCUGUAUUGCAAUUUUAAAAUCUAAUUUUCUAACCUUAAUGUAUUUUUCCACAGGUGUCACAGGUCGAACCUGCAGAUGUUCUGGAAGCUGUAUCUUGGGCUUUGUAUUUUCUUUCUUUUCAUCUUCAACCAACUAAAACCAAAACAUCAACAUUAAAAAUCAGGUUCCUUAUCUUUUGCAAUAUGCUGUAAUAUCUGAUACCUGCACCAUUCCCCUCAUUGUUGCAUCUGAUCUCGCUGUUUUUUCCAUCCGAAACAGGACUGCUUAUCGUAGUGCUUUGGAAAUUGUUGUAAUGUAUAUUUUGGUUUCAGAAAGCGAUGUAAUUCUGAAUUUCAGAUGAAAGGCUAAAUACUGCUGAGUGAUUCCAACUCUCUUAACUGUAUCACUGGUCCAAAAAUGGUUAGAAAUAUAUCUUACAUGACCACAAAACAAACAUUAAUAAAUACUAAAUACACUUGUUCACCAAUAGGAACAAUGCACAGUUUGCCAACUUUUCAGCUGUAGAUCUAUUAGUAAUGUGCAAAGGAUGAACUUCGAAACCUAGAGCACCAAGGUUUUCAAAGGUGUUAAUUUAGAUGUAUAUAGGAAUUCCCAAAAUAUCCUAGAACAGAUUAAGUACUUCUAGCCCCAUGAAAAGUACAUUUAUAGCUCAUCAAUCCUGUUCUUUAGCAAUGAAAUACUGUGAUUCCAAAAGUAACAUUAUGUGCUACUAUAUUCUGAUAUCUAAACAUCGCUGAGAACAGUCAUGUCUCCAAAUAGUCGUUUGUUGUAAAUUCCCUCACUGAAAAUUUUAAUUAGCUAGAACCUUUUCUCCUAGAUUUUAAAACUACCAUAUGGAUAGACAAAGGGGAAAUAUUUUCCUGUCAGUGUGCAUCUAGUAUUUGUUAACACUAUUGGGAGUCAUGUUUCUCAAGAGAAUUCUAUCAAAAUACGCAUCGCAUAUAAAUUACCAUUUGCCAUAUUUUAUUCAGAGGAAAACUGAAACUUUGAACCCAUCUUAAAAGUAGUGCGCUUGUUACCUCGGAACUUGGCUUAGUAAAGCAUACUCAGUACUUUUCUAGUCUUCUGUGCUCUCGUAAUUUUGUGUCUCGAUAAACCUGCAUUCCUGUAAAUUUAACGCGUUGCUUAUGUGCCAUUCAAUUUUACCUCUUCAAGAGGUGUUUUCAAGAAUCCCCACUUGUUGGACCACCUCUUGGCAGCUUCUAGUUCAGUUUCAAUGUUUCUUUUCCUGAAACAAACAGAAAAAAAUACUUAAGGUGACUUAGUAAGCUUUCAUUAAAAAAGCAAAAACAACACGCAAACCCAACUACGAAUGUCACAAAGCACUUUAGCACAAAUCUUUAGACCUUCACCUCAAAACAGCAAGUUUAUGUGCAAGUUAACAAUUGUCUGACACAGAGAUAAUGGGAAAACGUUUUCCAUGGGUUGGAAAUGAAACAGCAGGUGUGAACAUGCUACCUUGCAAAUUAAGUUUAUGUUAGGAAUUGGAGAUCAAAUUCACUGUACUUUAAAAAAGAAAAAAAAAAAAGGGGAAAUAAGCAUCCAUGUCCUUCGAUACAUAUUUCAUUUACUAUUGACUGAUGAAACGAGCGUUCUGGCUCUUUUCCCAGCCCUCACACCCAGCGGGAGGCCGGAGGGAAGCGCUCCCUGCCGUGUGUGUCCCCUCAGGGCUGUCCCACCUCAAGGCACUGUCACCCCCGGGCUUUUUGCAGACAGCAGCUCCGAUGGGCACACGCGCUCUGCAAACACAGGCGAACGAAGGAACAAACUCCUUCAGCCUCUGCCCGCCGGGGAGCGGACGCGGAGCUGCCUUGUGCGGGCGCGGAAGGAGGUGGCUGGGGCCGUUACCAGAUCUCGUCCUGCGCUACGAAGCUGUAGAUCUUCGCCAUGUCCGGCUGAGGCGUUGCCGGGCGACGGCCGGGGGCGGGGCGGUGCUCGCGCCACGGCCGUUGAAAAAGGGCGGGAAGAGCGCGCAAUGUUUUCCGCUCGCGGCGGCUCCUUUGUUUCUUCGCCAGUGAUUUUUUGGGGGGGCGUGUAUUUGAUAUUUUAAAAUUAUUAUUUUUUAUGUUAUUCAGUAGGAAAAUAUGUUUGGAUUAAGACGAUGAAAAGCUGUUAUUUUGCGUGAGGAGUCAGCCGUAUUUCAGAAGAGAAGGUGUUGUCUGAACUAUGUAAUUUACUGAUUAACCAAGCUCCCAUUAGCAGAAAACAAAUACUUGGGUGCCGUUCUGGAUACCGAGUUCUUAGGAGCUUAUUUUAAGCCUGGACAAGGGACUUGUUCAACAGCCAAAAGCUUGCAGUAUUUUUUAAUGGUUUUAAUGGACGUGAAAAGCUAUUGAAGAACAGCUCCACAAGCAGUUGUGCUUCUUCAAUCAAGGCAGCAGACAGAAUGGAGACAGGAAAAGGCCAUGUGUGAGCUGAAAUGUACAACCUCAACUACUGCAAAAGACUGUAUAAUACAAUGAUGGCUUUGUUAAUGUCAUUCACGGUCUUCAAGAUCUGAGUUAAAGUUUGGCUUCUGGAAAUCUCAUAUGUCUACCCAGGUCGCUGCUGAACUCAACGUGCCCACCCAUCGUCCUGCCUUUUUGAAGGAGGUUUCCCUGCUCCAGGAGCUGUCUCAUCUCUUGUCCAGUGUGACAACCAAAUGGGUCUGCCUUCCUUUCUUCCCCUCCAAGAUGUGGAUUGCUUCUAAUUCUGUCAGUCAAAUGGAGCAGCAGUUUGGGGAGGGGAGUGAUUAAGGCUCCCUCCGAAUAAAGGACUGCACGCUGCGCACUGCUAUUCAUCAGAGCUGGAGAUGGAAGAGCGAUUCCGGGCUCCUGAAUAACGGGAUUUUUUCAAACAUACAAAACACACCUUAGAAAUACUGCACAAAUAAAGCUCAAAGUCUCCAAAUGCUGUGCUUAUUUUCUGUUUAUUUCUUUGUGCUUUAUUUUCACUUUUCAUCAUGUGCUCCAGGACACCACUCAGCCCGGGCGCUCGCGCGGUGCUUGACUGCAGCCUUGCUCAGCAAAGCACUUGGCAGCUCCUUGAUUUAAGCCUGUGCUUAACUCACUACAGCCAAAUGGAUUUAAUCUCAUCCUUAAAGUAAAGCCUUUCGUGAUAUGAUUUGUUAAAAGAAGCUUCCCGAUUGGAUCUGUAUACAUGGGUUGGGUCAUUUUUUGGGAGGCCAGAAAUGCAGAGUAGGUGACACUGCAGUGUUUCCCAAACCAGUGUCUGUUUACUCAACUGCUUGUGUAAGGAAAAGAAAAAUAUUUAGAAGUUGAAGUGUUUUGAAGGUCUUUCUAAGCAGAACAUUUCAUUUUUGU